GUCUGGUCAGUGCUCACUAGAUGGUAGUUAUCUUUAUGUAUUAUUAGCAUCUCUCUUCUAGAACACCAUUCUCUUCUAUGUCAGAGGUCAACCCUCUGACCACUAAAUGAUUUUUAGAGUACUUUCUCUAUUCUUGAGGAAAAAAAUAAGUAGCUUCCUUCUAAGGAUGGCCAACUUUCAGUCUGUGGGUUCUCUCUGGCAAAGAACCUACAUGCUGUGCUAUACACAUCUGUUCAAGUACUUAAUUUUUUUUCUGCUUUGUCUGUCAAAAGCAGAGCUCUCCAUUCCAGGGUUCCAGUAGAUGUUUCUUUAUUUAAACUGUAUUCAUUGACAGGAAGGAAAGACAGAUGGACACACACAAGGAGGAAAGAGGUCUAGGCCAUAUCACCACAUUUAUUCAGAGACCACAGUGCCAGGAAAAGUGUGCACACCAAUUGUAAUUUGUUUUUUCCGUUUUAUUUGAUUUUUUUCAAACAGGAAUUUCUUGUUUCCUUAGAUACUAAUUAAAUCUCAGUUACUGAGAACCAGCCAGAGGACUUUCAAUGCAGUGAUGGAUGAUCAAAUACUGUAUUUAAAAACCCAUUCCAAACUGUCUGCCUGGAUUCAGAGUUGUUUUUCGACCUGAACUCAAUCACUCUGGUCAGUAGGAGAAUUUAAAGUCUGGAAAGAAAACUGUGUUGAGAAAAAGUCCUGAAAAACUAACCAGAAAGUUAAUUCUGGCCAGCACUGCAUUGAAGUUCCAUUCUUUUCGGGUGUUUGGGCUUUAGAUGGGGCCAGGAAUAAUAUGGACCAUCCUAGUUAAGUUUAACUGUGGGCUUGGAUAUGUAUAUAGAUAAUGAAUUAUGCAAAUAUCUACUAAGUGGGAAGCCAACUGAAUUGGACAACUCAGUCAUCCCUCAUUAGCAAAGACAACUAUCUUUAAAGGAGACAUGGCAUAGUAGAAAGAACAGACCUUUAGAGUUAGGCAGAAAUGACUUUGAGUCACCUUUAUUAUACAUGUGACCUUGAGGAGGUUAUAUAAUCCCCUUGAUCUUAAUCUCUUCAUCGGCAAAAUGGGGUUAAUCAAAUUUAUCUUAAUUCAACUAAUAAAGAAAACACUAAUAACCUCAAAGGAAAAUGAGCAAACAGUACAAGAAGCUUACAGAAAAACAAAAUAUGAAUGACUGAAAAUUAAGUACGAAAAAUUUCCAACUUU
rnacentral:lncRNA from 1 species